rnacentral:rRNA from 1 species
CCUACGGUGAGCUGCAGUGGGGGAUAUUGCACAAUGGGGGAAACCCUGAUGCAGCGACGCCGCGUGUGGGAAGACGGUCCUCUGGAUUGUAAACCACUGUCCCCAGGGACGAAAAUGACGGUACCUGGGGAGGAAGCUCCGGCUAACUACGUGCCAGCAGCAGCGGUAAUACGUAGGGAGCGAGCGUUGUCCGGAAUUACUGGGUGUAAAGGGAGCGUAGGUGGGGAUGCAAGUUGGGUGUCAAAACUACCGGCUCAACUGGUAGUCGCACUCAAAACUGCAGCUCUUGAGUGAAGUAGAGGCAGGCGGAAUUCCUAGUGUAGCGGUGAAAUGCGUAGAUAUUAGGAGGAACACCAGUGGCGAAGGCGGCUCACUGGACUGUAACUGACGUUGAGGCUCGAAAGCGUGGGGAGCAACCAGGAUUAGAUAUCCCGGUAGUC